GUGGCAGCACCCGCGGUAAUACGUAGGGUGCGAGCGUUAAUCGGAAUUACUGGGCGUAAAGCGUGCGCAGGCGGUUAUGUAAGACAGAUGUGAAAUCCCCGGGCUCAACCUGGGAACUGCAUUUGUGACUGCAUGGCUAGAGUACGGUAGAGGGGGAUGGAAUUCCGCGUGUAGCAGUGAAAUGCGUAGAUAUGCGGAGGAACACCGAUGGCGAAGGCAAUCCCCUGGACCUGUACUGACGCUCAUGCACGAAAGCGUGGGGAGCAAACAGGAUUAGAUACCCUGGUAGUCCACGCCCUAAACGAUGUCAACUGGUUGUUGGGAAUUAUGUUUUCUCAGUAACGAAGCUAACGCGUGAAGUGACCGCCU
rnacentral:rRNA from 1 species